CCUCUGCGCAUGUGCAAGGAGCGUUUCGGUUGGCGGGGAAGAAGCUGCUGGUGCAUCAGGAUUGCCCAUCUGUGUAAUAUUUAUGCUUUGUCUGGGCUUCUCUCUUGCCUUUGUCCCUGUGAAAUAAUGGCAGGAGCAACCGGAAGCUGGAGAUGAGCAAAGCUGUGAUAGAGGAGGCCACACAUCUGAACAGCUCCAUGGCAAUACUGAGUACCAUGAUGGUCAUCAAAAGCACAGAGGCUAGCCAUCAGCCUGGGAGGCAGUGUGAUCCAGUGGAUCGGGCAUCAGACUGAGAGUAU